UACGUAGGUGACAAGCGUUGUCCGGAUUUACUGGGCGUAAAGAGCGCGCAGGCGGUCGUUCAAGUCGAGUGUGAAAGCCCCCGGCUCAACUGGGGAGGGUCAUUCGAUACUGAUCGACUCGAAGGCAGGAGAGGGUAGUGGAAUUCCCGGUGUAGUGGUGAAAUGCGUAGAUAUCGGGAGGAACACCAGUGGCGAAGGCGACUACCUGGCCUGUUCUUGACGCUGAGGCGCGAAAGCGUGGGUAGCAAACAGG
rnacentral:rRNA from 1 species